AGUGCUUUAUGGACUGUUUAAAAUAUUCUGAUGGAUACGCAUGUUGUGCAACUGGUGAUUGAAAAUAGGCACCUGGUAACCCAAAAAUGAAAAUAUGGUUGUGAAUGCAUUUACCGGUCAUUCUGAUAUUAAUGCCCGCUAUGGGAACACAGGAUGGCCGGGCAGUGAUAGUUGUUCCUUUCCAUCACUCGUUGUGUUGAUUUCAUCAUGUCCAUUAGGUGAUGUUUUUUCACUAUAGAAUCAUAUUGCAAAUGCACGUGCAUUGUUGUGCAACUGGUAACCCAAAAAUAAAAAUAUGGUUGUAAAUGCAUUUACCGGUCAUUCUGAUAUUAAUGCUGGCUAUGGGAACACAGGAUGGCCGGGCAGUGAUAGUUGUACAUUUCCAUCACUCGUUGUGUUGAUUUCAUCAUGUCCAUUAGGUGAUGUUUUUACACUAUAGAAUCAUAUUGCAAGUGCGCGCGCAUUUGCAAUAUGUUUCAAUGUGCAUUUACCAUAUGAAAUUUGACAUGCUCAAAAAUGCAAAAUUGACUGGUCUGAUGGACACAGGAUGGCCGAGCAGUGAUAGUUGUACAUUUCCAUCACUCGUUGUGUUGAUUUCAUCAUGUCCAUUAGGUGAUGUUUUUUUCACUAUAGAAUCAUAUUGCAAAUGCACGUGCAUUGUUGUGCAACUGGUAACCCAAAAAUAAAAAUAUGGUUGUAAAUGCAUUUACCGGUCAUUCUGAUAUUAAUGCUCGCUAUGGGAACACAGGAUGGCCGGGCAGUGAUAGUUGUACAUUUCCAUCACUCGUUGUGUUGAUUUCAUC